CCUACGGGAGGCAGCAGUGAGGAAUAUUGGUCAAUGGACGAGAGUCUGAACCAGCCACGUAGCGUGAAGGAUGACUGCCCUCUGGGCUGUAAACUUCUUUUAUAUGGGAGUAAACAGGGUAUGCAUACCCUCUUGUCUGUACCAUAUGAAUAAGGAUCGGCCAACUCUGUGAAAGCAGCCGCGGUAAGACGGAGGGUCCGAGCGUUAUCCGGAUUUAUGUGGUUUAAAGGGAGCGUAGGUGGAUUGUUAAGUCAGUUGUGAAAGUUUGCGGCUCAACCGUAAACUUGCAGUUGAAACUGGCAGUCUUGAGUGCAGAAGAGGUGAGCGGAAGUCGUGGUGUAGCGGUGAAAUGCUUAGAUAUCACGAGGAACUCCGAUGGCGAAGGCAGCUCACUGGACUGCAACUGACACUGAUGCUCGAAAGUGUGGGUAUCAAACAGGUUUAGAUACCCCAGUAGUC
rnacentral:rRNA from 1 species